AUACGGAGGAUCCGAGCGUUAUCCGGAUUUAUUGGGUUUAAAGGGAGCGUAGGUGGACAGUUAAGUCAGUUGUGAAAGUUUGCGGCUCAACCGUAAAAUUGCAGUUGAUACUGGCUGUCUUGAGUACAGUAGAGGUGGGCGGAAUUCGUGGGGUAGCGGUGAAAUGCUUAGAUAUCACGAAGAACUCCGAUCGCGAAGGCAGCUCACCGGGCCGGAACUGACACUGAUGCUCGAAAGUGCGGGUAUCAAACAGGAUUAGAUACCCUGGUAGUCCGCACAGUAAACGAUGAAUACUCGCUGUUUGCGAUACACGGUAAGCGGCCAAGCGAAAGCGUUAAGUAUUCCACCUGGGGAGUACGCCGGUAACGGUGAAACUCAAAUGAAUUGACGGGG
rnacentral:rRNA from 1 species